rnacentral:hammerhead_ribozyme from 1 species
CUGCCACUGAAGAGUCUCACAAUAGGACUAAAUGGCCAUCCAGUAC